UAGAUCUAUCUUCAAAUUUUCUUACUGGAAGGAUUCCAGUACAGUUGGCAGAUCUAACAUUUCUUGGAGUCUUAAACCUUUCACAUAACCAGCUUGAGGGGCCCAUACCCAGUAGAAACCAGUUCAGCACGUUUAAUGCAAGCUCAUUUGAAGGAAACUUGGGUUUAUGUGGAUUGCCCAUGCCAAAAGAAUGCAAUAGUGACGAUGCACCACCAUUGCAGCCAUCGAACUUUCACGAUGGAGAUGAUUCAGCAUUCUUUGGAGAUGGAUUUGGAUGGAAAGCUGUGGCAAUAGGGUAUGGAAGUGGGUUUGUGUUUGGAGUCACAAUGGGAUACGUUGUGUUUAGGACAAGAAAACCGGUAUGGUUUCUGAAAGUGGUUGAAGAUCAAUGGAAUCUGAAGGCAAGAAGAACGAAGAAGAAUGCUCGUAGAAAUGGUGCAAGAAGAAACUAAAUAGCGCAGCUAGUAACAUGAAGUAAGUUCUGCAAGCAUUUGACAUCUUAAAGUUUUAUGUGCAAGAGUUUACGCUAUUUUUUCUGUGCUAUUUCCUUUGAUUAGUCUUUUCUUUCUGUUUCAUUAAAUAAAAAAAUUAUUUGUAUGCUUCUAAAUUGCAGUGAAGUUUCGAAUAAACAUCCUCGCUACCUUAUGAGAUACCAAGCGGAGUUGACAUGAGAAGAACGCUAGAGUGGCAGAUUCAGAGAACUUCUUCGUACUUCUUCUGUUUUCCUUCAUGGUUGUGUUUUAUUUUAUUUUCUUUCAUUAGUUUUAUUCGAUACAUGGAAUGUUUUCGAGUCACUUAAUAUGCGUGUUUUUUUUUUUGGUUAGUUUUGAUGCAAGGUUUGGGUGUUACAUCUAUAAAAAAGAAGCAAUGCAUGCAGCAGUUAAUGUUUAAUAGAAAAUCCAGCUUGAUUUUAAGGUUUUUUUUUUUUUUUAACCAGUACAUAACCUACUUAAAGCUGGGAGAAUUCCAUAUAGAAAGCAGGUCCGAAAAAGACAUCAUACAAUGGACAACUAGAUUUUUAAGAGUCAGUUAUUUCAGUUUGCUGCAGAGCUUUCAUUUCUUUAUUUUCUUUUUCUCUGUCAUUGUAAACGAACAGAACUUUUUUUUCUAGUUAGCCAAGUCUUUUUGGCACUAAUUUUUAUAUAAAAUCUUGAUAUAUAUAUAUAUAUGAAAGAUUGUAUUUGAGAGUAUACUCUUAAAAAAUGAAAUGUAUUGUAGGAAAUGGGUGUCUUAGUGAUGGCGUUUUCAAAAUAAAUUUAAUGACCAUUGUAAGCAAGGUUGAGAUGAAUAAUAUUAAUAAUGCAUCUUCUUCUUACUUGGAUUAGUCUUAUGAUGAAUGGCAUGAGAGGUUGGGGCAUAUGAAUUAUAAUUUUAUACAAAAUUGGUUCAUCUUGAAUUAAUACCUACCAUGGUUUUUUAGAAAAAUCAUACGUGUAAAGUUUGUGUAAAAUUAAAAUUCACAAAAUCUUCUUUUCAAAUUAUUAAAAGAAGUAGUGAAUCUCUAGAUUUAAUUCACUCAGACAUUAAUGAUUUAAAAAUAAUGUAAACCAAAGGAGAAAAGAAGUAUUAUAUCACCUUUAUAGAGAAUUGCACAAGGUACUUUUAUACUUAUGAGACUCUUAAAAUAUUAAAAAAUUACAAAAUUUAAGUUCAAAAUCAACUUAAUAAAAAAAAUAAUACGAAGUUAUAGAUACGGAGAGUAUGAAAUAUAUUUUGGUGAAUUUUGUUUCCAAAAUGAGAUAAUUCACCAAAUUAGUACUCCUUAUUUACCUCAAUAAAAUGACAUUAAAAAACAUAAAAACCAAACACUUCAAAAACUAAUGAAUAUCAUGUUGAUAAGUUCAAGAGUGCCUCAAAACUUGUGAAAGGAGGCAAUUAUAACUGCCAAUUGUAUUUUUAAUAAAGUACACCCAUAAAAAACUAGAAAAGACACUAUAUGAAUUAUAGAAAGGUAAAAGAUCAUAAAAAUACCUCAAAAUGUGAGGGUGUCUUGAAAAGAUAGCAAUACUUGAUCCUAAAAUGUUCAAGAUACGAAAUAGAAUUGUGAAUUGUGUAUUUAUCGGGUAUACUUACAAUAAUAAUACAUAUUAGUUUUUUAUACACAACUUAAGUAUUGAGAAUAUACAUUCUAAUACUAUUAUAGAAUCAAAUAGCGCUAUAUUUUUUGAAGAUGUGUUUUCAUUUGAAGAGCUAUAAGAAAAUUAUUCACUUAAAAAAAUAAUAGAAGCUAGCUUAAAUAGUUAUCAUCAAUCGAAAAAUGAUGAAGUUGAGUCUAGAAGGAGUAAAAGGAAAAAACAACUAAAAUAUUUGAAAUUUCAGCAAUAACCACUUGAAUGGUCCAAUCCCAAGUCCAAUUUUCAAAUAAGAGAGCUUGUUAAUCAUCAUUUUACAUCCAACAGUAAAUAAAUUUCUUUUUCUAUUUGCAAGCUUGACUUAUCCAACAAUAGCUUGAGUAGUUCUAUUCCCCCAUGUUUGGAGAACUUCAAUAACACUAUUAGUUUUACAUUCAGGCAUGAACAAUCUUCAAUGAACUAUCUCUUUAACAUUUUUAAAGAGGAAUGGGAUAUUCCAACCUGGGAAAAUAUUGGAAUCAACCGCAUAAUAGUGGAAGUUCUUGAUCUCAGCAAUGAUAAGAUUAAGUAUACAUUCCCCUAUUUCCUAGAAACACUUUCAAAAUUGCAGGUUUUUGUUCUAAAAUUAAAUAGACUCUAGGGUUUUUUGAAGGUCCAAUCACUUAUAACUCCUUUAAAUAAUAUAUUUUUUACAUCUUCAACAAUAAUUUUAGUGGACCAUUGCAAAUAAGGUGUUUAAUAGUCUUGAAGCAACGUUGGUCUCUUUAAAAUAUUAUUUAUAUGAUGGCAAGAGUUUUCUCAAGAUAUGCCUAUACCUUAAAAACAACAUGGAAAGAGUUGGAAGUUGAGUUUAUGAAAAUCCAAAGUAUUCUUGGAAUAGUACUUGUCUUGUCAAAUAAUAAUUUUAUCGGAGAGAUUCCAAAAUUAAUCGGAAAGCUUAAAACAUUUCAAUAACUUAACCUCUCUUACAAUUCCCUUACAGGUCGUAUCCAAGCAUCAUUAGGAGUUUUGACCAAACUAGAAUAAUUAGAUCUAUCUUUCAAUUUGCUUACCAGAAGGAUUCCUAUGCAGUUGGCUAAAACUUGAUGGCUAAUCAUUUCUUGAUAAGUACGAAAUCUUUUACAUAACCAGCUCGAGGGACACAUACCUAGUGAAAGUAACUCAACACAUUUGAUCAAAGCACAUUUGAAGGAAACUUGGGUUUAUGUGGAUUUCCACUGCCAAAAGGAUGCAAUAGUGGCGAGGCACCAUCAAUAUUGUUGCCAUCAAACUUUAAUGAAGGAGAUCGCUCAACAUUGUUUGGAGAUGGAUUUGGAUGGAAAGUUGUGGCAAUGGGCUAUGGAUGUGGGUUUGUAUUUGGAGUCACAAUGGCUUAUCUACAAAGAGACAAGUACUUGCAUGGUUUAUGAGGAUGGUUGAAGGUCAAUGGAAUGUGAAGGGAAGAAGAACAGAAAACAAUUCUCGCAGACAAGGUGCCAGAAGAAACUCAAAAAAAUUACAUUCAGUAAAUCAAAGUACUCAUGACUAUUAUUGUGUGUUUUCUUAUUGCAGUACAAAUUCAAUAGAGGUUGUACCUCACGAGAUACCAAGUGGAGUUAACAUUGGAGCAACACUAAAGUGUCAGGUUUAGAAUAUUUGAUGCGGGUGGAAGCUAAAGAUAAGAACAAAUAAAUAACACGGAAUUUUGAUGAAUGAAAAGGUAUUGAAGGAAAAAAUCCCAAAUAAUUAGGUGAUAUACUUUAAUUAAUGGGAUUAAAUAAUUUAUCAAAGUUAAUCCUAGAAUAGCUCCUAGAAUGGUGGAUCAGAUUGUAUUUUAAACCAGCUUUGCAAUAGUGAAAAAAGAAAAUACAGAAAACAUUCGCAUUAUCAUUUUCUUUAUGUUAUCAGAGCUCUAGUUCUGAGAACCUAGGAAUCCAUACAACUAAAAUACCUCAUGCCUGGUGACGAAGACCGAAAGCUUCUUGAACAAAACAGGCGCUGUCGAACUCUUUCAAGACCUCAGAACCAUGGGAGAACUCCAAUCAUCCACUUUUUCUCCAUCACUCGGAUCAACCAGGCGCUGUCCUCGUUUCACAACCAAUUCUAGUGCUCUGUUCCUUGCCUACUUUUGGGCAGUGUUAUCAUGCAAACAGAAGCGUUGGCAAAGUAAUUAGUUCCAAAUAUUUCUAGCAUAGAUUUAUGCAUGCAAAAUAGUAAUGUGAAUAAGCAACCUUGUUAAAGCUUAGCUCCUGGAAAUGGGAUGCCGCCGCAAAUUGCAACUGGAAAAAAAAAAUCAAGUAUGUAAUUUGGUGGCUAGUCUUGUUAGGAUUCGGAAUCAAAACAAUUAAAGCUUGAUUUGUAAAUCAUAUCUUAGAGAUUUAGUUUGAUUGUAGUUUUUGUAAUUAAAUCCUAAAAAUUAGUUGCUAGUCUGUCAGUUUAUUUAUUUAGACAAGAUCUUUUUUAUAUAAACCAUGUAUAUGUACCAUAGAAAUCACACAGAAUAAUAAGACUGCCUUGCUGUUCUUCAAACUCCCUCUGUCAGCUUUCUUGUUUUCUUUAAGUCUUGCAAACGAGACCGACUCAUCCCUCGUAAUGAUGCAGCUGUCGAACAUCAACCUCGCACCUACAAGAAAUGGUGAGGCAUAUUACUCCCUCUGUCGAUUCGUUCUCCCAUUUUUAUGUAUUCAGCAUCAAUAGUUUCAGCAUCACGUAAGAAGGUUGAGAUAUUCGCCGGUAGCACAUAUGAAUCACAUUUGCAUUCUACUUUCAAAUUCUUCAGUCUUUUGAAGGGAGCACCACUUUUCCACAUGAAUACAAACCUUUACCACUAAUAAGGAUAGGUGGAGCUCCAUACCUUCGUUUUUUUUUUCUUCUUAUAUCCAUAGCAACGACUCACUCCUGACAUAGCUUACAGGUGAGUGACCAUUUUCGAGAGCUAAAUCACGGUAAAAAAUUUAUCAACUCAAGGUUUUUAGUCAAUCGUAUAUUUACACGUAGGUUGGGAAAUACAAGUGAUAAGAUUCAAACUAGAAAUGUUCUCUUCCCUUGAUUAACUCUUUAAUACUUAAUUAUUAUCAGUUAAAUUACCAACUAACUUGCUUAGCUCUAUACCUUCGUGUCCAAGCAGUAAUGCAACACAAAAGUAAUAGAGGAUUUACGAUCAAAUGUUUCUGAGAUGCAAAUAUUAUUAAUUAUCAAUUUAUAGCAGUAUGCAUAAACCCUAUUUUGAAAAAUCAGGUAAUCCAAAAUUGAUACUGUUUUUUCCAUUGCCCCAUUAAUUUUUGAUAAGAAAUUCAUUAAAAAUAUGGAUUAAUAAAACUAGGCUCAAGAAAUUUUUUACUAAGAAAAAUAACAAUCUCAUUAUUUCUAAAACUUUAUAAAUAAACUAGAACUGUAAUUUGGAUGACUUAAGUUUUUUCAUUUUACAUGAAUUAUCUCAAAUAAAUGUGAGGUAAUUCUCUAAAUUACCUAUUCUCCGAAACUUUAAGAAAUUUACUACCCGAAUUGGUUCAAACAAUCAAAGUAAUUUGGAUUAUUUUUUAAUAAUGCUCAUAUCUAUUCACACCAAUCAUAUGUGGUGGCAUGGUUGCAUCGAUUCUUUUUUUAUUUGGAAGGUGAGAUUUAGUUUUUUGCAUGUCUUUUAACCUUUUUUUUUAUUAACGUGUGAGAUUUAGUUUUUUGUAUAUUUUUUAAUUUUUUUUAUUAAUGUAGAUAUCCGAGUUAGCUUGCGUAUACCUUAACUAAUUUCACGAAACUUAAAAUUAAUUAAUUUUACAGCAUGUAGUUCAAGAAACCUUCUUCUGUCAUUUUGUGUCAGUUAGGUUAAAGAAGCGCUGAUUUCAAUUUUGUAAACUAGUACAUGCUCGAAUUAUGAAUAUCAUAUUCUUCGUUUGAAUUCUUUGACAUUAAUUUUCACUUUCUCUUUCUUCUUUUUUUUACACAAAAGUCAAAGAAAAAAACACCUUUUCUUGUAAAUAUUAUCCAAAAACAAUUUCCCAAGAAUCAUCAUAAGAUAACUAUCUAAAGAAACAAUAAGAGAUACAAACCUAGCCACUAAAUGGUAUUUUACUAGCUAAUAUCCAACUAUCUAAUUCCAAAACAAUUUAAGAAUUAAUAAGAUAAACUCUUGGGCCUUAAAAAGAAAAAAAAAGAUUAACUACAGGGGCCCUUCUUUUUUAUCCUCUAAUCCUAUUGUUUUUCUGAUUAAAAAUGAUUAAAUUGUCUUAUUAUUUAUUAAUUGUGAAACCUCACUUUUAUAUAAAUCUAAGCUCUCUAACUUAAGAAAUUAAAAUAAGAUAUUAUAAAAAUCAUACCGUUCUCUCAUUGUUUUUCAUUUUCAGAGAAUAUUAAGAUGUCAUUUACUUACUUGCUGGAAAGUUUUUUUUUGAAAAGUAAAUUUUAAAAAAAUUAAUUUCAGAAAAGUAAAUUAUUUUUCAAUAUGUGGUAAUGUAAUAGAAAAUAAAUUAGAAAACACUUUCUAAUAUUUGAUUAUGUUAUGGAAAAUAAGAUAUAAAAUAACUUAUUAAUAUUUUUUUUUAAGUUUAUUAAAAUAAUAAGAAAUAAAUUUUACAAAUUUAAAAUUUAAAUAAAAAAAUUAAAAAUAUAUAUAUAAUUUUAUAAAUUACUUUAAAUAAAUUAUUUAACUAUAAAAAGGAGAGAAAAAAAGAGAGGGUGACUUGGGGAAAGGGUCAGCAGAGCAGAUCAGAGUGAAGAGUGUGAGAGUGAUAGAGGGUUCGAUAACUAAGGAGGCCAAGGGUUUUUCAACAGCAACAACAAAGAGAGACAGAAAAAUGUGGAGGAGGAGGAGUCAUUUAUUACUCAGCAACGCCGUAAGAACCUCCCACCACCUCUCCUCCUUAUCGGCUUCCACCGCUUCCAGAGGCAGAACCCUCCUCACUCCCUCCUCCAAUUCUCCCUUAUUUAAAUCCCCUUCUCUUCACUUAGCCCCAAACAACCGCCUUUCCUCUCCUCUCUCCUCCACCAUCUCCGUCCGCCUCCUCCGCACCGGCCGCGACCCCUUCACCAGGUACAUUCAUUCUCCAUUCCCUCCCUCUGUCUUUCUUCCGUUUUUUAUUAUGAAUUUAUUAUAAUUCAUUAGUUAUGAGAUUACGCCACCUGUGAAUUGGGGGGUACGGAUUGUGCCGGAGAAGAAAGCGUUUGUGGUUGUUACGUACCUAGUCACUAGGAAUGGGUGUGCAGUAUAUGGAAAGAAGAAGCUAAAGGUGGUGCAGGAUUGGUAACGUCUGCAACACGCAACAAGGGGUGGUUAAUUCUGUUAGUUGUUAGCCAUAGUUAGUUAGCAUAUUGUUACAGCUGUUAUAGUUAGUUAGAGUAGUCAGUUAGUCGUUAUCUUCAGUUACUAUAAAACCAUGAUCAAGGGUAUCAGUUGAAUACGAAGAAUAUAGAAUACAGAAAAUUCAGUCUCAACUCUUCUCUCUCGAAUUCUUUCUCACAAAUUCUCUGUUCUUCAUCUCUUUCUUCUUCACUUGUUAAGAAACCUUAACAGUGGUAGAGAGAUUUGGAAAGUACUUGAAGACGCUGCCAUCUGGAAUCCAUUUCUUGAUUCCUCUUGUCGAUCGAAUCGCUUAUGUUCACUCUUUGAAGGAAGAGGCUAAUCAGAUUCCUGAUCAAUCUGCUAUUACCAAAGACAAUGUCAGCAUUCUUAUCGACGGCGUCCUCUAUGAAAAGAUUGUGGUAUGAUACCUCUUUACUUCAAUCACCCUUUCUUAGUGUAUUCACAUUAUUUAUUUAUUUAGGAGUGUGCUUUUUAUGUGAAGUACAUUUCGCCGUGAAGAGAUUGGUUGCUUUAACAUUUCGAUUCAUUAAUAAUAUAUUGAAAUGCCAGACAUAAAUCAUAAAUGUGAGCAAAAUCGGUUGCUGCUUCAGGAAAUUGUGACUUGGUUGGUUCUUCAAAAUUGUAAUGACACUUCUCCGUUUCUUGUCUUAUCAACAUAGUUAAAACUCUAAGGUUGUUUUGGAGUUUUAGUUGAAAAUCAGGCAUUUUAAGAAAACAAGGAUGUUGUUGAAUAUGCAAGACCAUCACCAUUUCUGCAGGAGGCCAUCAAUGUGGCUGCAACAGACUGGGGUCUCCGAUGUCUUCGUUAUGAAAUAAGUGAGCCAGCCGCACUUAUCUUAUUUGAUAUUCUAUGUUGAUUAGGUUCCUGUUGAAUUUUCUUUUAAUGCUUCACUGUCCUCUCUUCUUUAGGGGAUAUAUCUCCUCCACGUGGGGUGAAGCAAGCUAUGGAGAUGCAGGCAGAAGCAGAACGUAGAAAGAGAGCUCAAAUUCUUGAGUCUGAAGGUAGUAAAUGUAGUUUAAUUUCUCAGUUUUACCUCGGCUUAAUUAAACUCCACUUUAAUCGAACUUUGUUGCAAUUUACUUCAUGCAUCAUUUUUAUCCUUUUGUACAGAAUUGCCAUGCCAUCUUGUCAUGCUUGGUCGUUUUCCACCGCUUCUUUUCAUCGCAUUUUUUCUGCCUCUCGUAUCUUUGCUGCUACAUAAUGCAGACACUUUUAUUCACCUAUCAUAUCUAUAAAUCUUUGUUAUGCAUGGCUUAAUAAUUGUAGGCAACCUUUUUUAGAACCAUUUGUUCAAUGUCGUGAGGCAUUGCAAUAUUUCUUCAUUUGUCAAUUCAUUGCUAAUCUUUUGUAUUGAUUAUUUUUAACAGGAGAGAGACAGGCCAAUAUUAAUAUUGCUGAUGGUCAUAAGAGUGCUCAGAUCUUGGCAUCACAAGGUUAGUUUUCUUGUGUGUCGUAAGAAUUCUGUUGAUUACAAGUUUCAUUGGAGAUGGUUGUAACUUCUCGAGUAUUGUUUUGAAAUAGAACUUGUUUUACUUCUUUAAUGUUUAUCAUCCAAUUGCCAUCAUUUCUUCAUGGAAACUCUCUUCCUCAACAGGAGAGAAACAAGCUCUCAUCAACAAAGCACAAGGUUAGCUUUCUCAUGUCUCUCUGCUCUGCUGUGCAGUAAUCAAUUGGUGCUCCUCUAUUUCAUUUUCUAGACCCAUAAGCCGUUCUAAAUUAGUAGAUAACCAAACAAAAUUCAUGAGGUGAUAUGAUGGCUUAUCUUGUUACAGUUAUUUUGUAGGCAGCUAAUCUCAUUUUUCUUUCAAUCCUUGUCUUUCGUAUAUCCUUGUGUAUAUGUGCAAUGAUCCACUGAUUAUGAUUGGGUUUCAUUGGAGAUGGCUGUAGCAUCUCAAGUAUUACUUUUUAAACAAACCAAAUGAUGUGAGAACAUAUUUGUUGUUUUAUGACUUUUCAUAUCUGUUGAAGCUUUUAAAUGGUAGUGCUGAUACCUAGUUGCACUUAAAAUAGGUUUGGCUCUUAAUUUGCUCUUCUAGUCUCCUGGAUUGUUUAGCAUGGGAUGCUCUAGUUUUUCAUUUUCUAGACCCAUUAGCUACUCUACAAUAUUUGAUAACCAACCAGACUUGAUCCGGCAAUAUCAUGGCUUAUCUUUAUAUAGUUCUCAUAUGAUCGGCUGCCAAUCUCAUAUCAUUUUAAAUCCUUAUCGAUAAUAUUUUAGGUGAGGCUGAAGCCAUCAUUGCUAAAGCACAAGCAACAGCCAAAGGAAUUGCCAUUGUGUCAGAGAAUAUUAAAAAGAGUGGGGGGAUUGAGGUGAGGUUCUCCAUGUAGAUUUUGAUGUGGUUGCGUAAACAAGAUAUAUCCCUUAGAUUAGUGAUUUUGCAAGUGUUUUAUACCACUUUGUGAUUUGUGAUUCUUGCAUUUUAGCAAUUUGGACUCCAUUGCUUUUUAUAGUAAUAAUAAUAAUCAAAGUUUUCUUGAUUUUGAGGCUACACAAGUACUUUAUCUACGUUUUGGUGCUUAAAUCAUGCAUGGCCACAUACCUAAUUAAGAUGUGAAUUAACUACGUUUGUAAAUUAUUAAAAAACAAUUCUUUCUAUUGAAAAUGUUGUGCCUCGAUUUCUUAAUUUUUGGAAAUUAAAGUCAGUAUGUAAAGCACUCGUAUUUCUUUUUCCCUAAAAAUAUUUUCAUGUAAAAUUCCACCUCCGAUAUCUAUAAAAUUAAUUAUUAGCACCAUUACUUUGCGGGGAAAUUAUCUAUAAAAGUUUUUUAUCUCCUUAUCUAGAGAUCUUGUUGAGUGGAGUUUGUCCCUUACAUGUUCUGCUCUUAGAGUUAGUCUUCCAACCAGGAUAAGACUCUUCCUUAAACUUUGAAAUUUCACUGUUAUCUUCCCUCAAUUGUUUUCGAUAUUGUUGGUAGCAGACUGUUACACAAUGCACUGAUACCAACAGCUGAAAUUAUAUAAGUAACAUCCCUUCAAUGUGUAACUUUGUUAGUUCAUUUCACUGCGAACCUCCAUAUAUCAUUCUUGUCUGCCAUAGACUCUCUCUCUAAAUUCUAAACCGAUUGCCAGGUUGUUCGCACAAAGUUUUUUGACAUGCCACCUUUGACUGUCUCGGAAGCUAUUGAGCAGCUGGAAAAUGUGGAUCAUGAUUUCUAUGGUUUCAGGAAUGAAGAAACUGGUAUGAACUUAUGCAGCUUGUUUCAAUUUCUUUUUCACUUAUCCUCUGCAAUCUGUUAACUAAUAGAACCAGCUAGAGAACCAUCAUUGGCAGAGUAACCAGGCCUAGAAAAUAAGAUCUUCCUAUAAAAUAGAUUACAAAACCCACGUUUUUGGUAAUGCUGUAUAUACAAUGCUAAGGCAUCUAAGAGAGCAUGAUAUAGGGUUCGAGACCUGGUGAACGCACACUAACGCGAUGUCAAGACAUGAUUGUACUGGUUAUUAGAUUUUGGAAGAUUAGGUUCAGUGUGCUAUGUCCCAACUUUUACUGGAAUGAGAAGACAAAUCUUGCAAUUUAUAAGAUGGAAAUCAAUUCGAUAAAGUCUUCUUUCCAUGCGGACGAGUCUUAACUAUUUUCUCUUUCCUGUGGAUUUUCAGUUAUGUAAUGGAAAUCAAUUCGAUGAAGUCUUGCUUCCUGUUGUAUUUUCUCGUCAUGCUAUGUAUGGUUCUUUGCUUGCUGCCAUGUUAACUUCCUUGGUUGGGAAUUCUCUCUAGCGAAGUUUUGCACGAGCCUACUUCUGUGAAACUUCUGCCUAUGUUCAAACAAGUAAAAAUUGGAUUUCUUACAACAUGAGCCCCAUCUGACCCAGUUUAGGUCGUGACUUGCAUUGCCUUCCAGAGCGGUGGAAAACUUCUUGGUGAAAGAGAUGUCCAUUAUCCCGGUUAUGGAAAUGUCAAGUGGAGGUUCAGUAAAGAGUUCAUAUGUGGACAAAACAGCUCCCUGUUAGCAAUACUAUCGUGAAGUUUACGAACAUAUAUUUAUAGCCAUAGCAAUUAGAUUUCAAUUGUCAGAAAAUACAAAUACCAUACCAUAGAAAAGAAAUUGUUAACUCUUUGUCUAGUCUAUCGAAGUCCUUGAUCUGUGCACAUGAAGAAAUCAGAGGUUUUCUUGCUGUACUAGAGACUCCAUAUAUUUUUACUUUGUGAAACGUAUUUUUUCUGAAUACUUCUUUCCCAUCUAAAGGUGUGUGAGUGUAACCCGGUGGAAAGUUUGGUAUUGUGAUAGCUUUUGUGGUUGUGGUUUGAAAAAAGUUGUUUUAUAAAAAGUAUUUUUAGUUGAGAUUGAUUUGGUAUUUAUAUAUGUUUGGUUAAAACUGUAGUUGAAAUUAAGGUUGAACAAAAAGUAGUUUAAUGUGUUUGGUUAAGAAUUCUUUUCAAAUUGAGGUUAUAAAAUAAUUUUAAAAAAUACAUAUUAAUAUUAAUGGUUUUUAAUUUAAAUAUUGUAGAUGUAACUACUGCUAUUACAUCUUGAAAUAAAUAAUACUUUAUAUAAAAUAAUUUUUAUUAUUCCAUUAAACUAUCUACAAUUCCAUCACGUAUGAAAUACAUCCGACAAUAACUAUAGUUUUCUUAGUUUUUUAAGCGCGCAACAAUAUCAGGUAAAAUAUAAUGAGGAACAAAAUUGAGAUUGCGAUCAAAUUCUGCAAAUACUACGUCAUCAAGCGAUCUCCGUCUAAUUUAUGUAGUGAUACUUUAUAAUGUUAAACACUAGUUUUUCAAAUAAAACACAAUUAAAAAUAAAAAAUUUAAUUUAAUUUUUUUAAACACUAAGUUUUUGAAUAAAACACAAAUAAAAAUAAAAAAUAAAAUUUAUUUUUUUUAUUUUACUGGGUUGGACCCGGUUCAAUGCAUUUAGAUCUGGACCGGACCGAUAAACACUAGUUUUUUUAAUAAAACACAAUUACAAAAAUAAAAAAUAAAAUUUAUUUUUUUACUAGAUUGGACCCGGUUCAAUGCAUUUAGCUCUGGACCAAACCAGACCCAACCCGGUCCGGCCGAAACAGUGGAGAGUGACUCCACUGUUCCAUUCCACAUGAAGAAGAGGAAAGCAGCAUUAAGCUGCUUCUAACAACCCUGCGUUUUAAACGCAAUUAAUAGUGGGGUUCAUGAAUAGUAAAUCAAGUUUCACUUAUUACCAAACACUGAUUUUUCAUGGUUUGCUUCAUCAGCAAACACAACGACGGAAAAAAACAAUCACUUAAUAUAUAUACCAAUUCAAUAUUGAUAUAUCCUUAAAUUUUUUUCUCAUCGAUACAAUAUCACUUAUACCAAAAACAAAAGAGUUCAAAUUACAUAAAUCAUGGUGAUAAGUAUUUUGAAGCAAGUUCUACCUUCCAUGUAUUACAAUGCAACUUUCUCUUUUGAAUCAAAACCAUUAUUUUUAUGAAUGAACUUCCAAAUAUUCAUUUAGGGUCACAAAUAAAAAUUCAAAUAUAUUUUGUCAUUCUCUUAACGUCAUGUAUACAACUAAGAUAAUGUUUGGGAAUGCGGUUGAAAUUGUGUCUCUUAAAUAUUUAAAAACAAAUUCUUUUUUUUCUUUAAAAUUAUUUUUUUAUGUUUUCAGAUCGUUCUGUCUGUUGGAUAAAAAAACUAUGUAAGUCACAAAAUAUAGAGCUGGUAUUUUAAGCAUAGUAAUCUCUCUCCCUAAAUAGAGAUUUAAGAGAUUUCUCGCUGGUGAUUCGUGUGAAUUACCGUUGAAGGUCGGACAAUUGGAUGACUUAUAAUUUACGAUAACCCAGCUUUUAAAGAAUUAUUUAAAGAAAAAAAAUAUCAAACCUUCAGGUGAUAAAAUCUUCAAACAAUUCUAGAUCUAUCUAAUAUGAUUCUAGGGAUUCUUAAAUAAUUUUGUUUUAUUAUUUCUGUUGCGUGUAAGACAUUCAGGAAUUGACUCUAUUGAACUUUCCUUUCUUUGUUUAUGGCCAUUGAUGUUUCUCAAGGGAUCAAGCACAAGUCAAAUACCAUUUCUAAUUUUUUAAGAGCUUUUUCUCAAAGUCCAAAGGUGGGGAGAAUACAUGCUUCCAAGAUUCACAUUAUAAGAAAAGGAAGAGAUUCAAAAAAAGAAAGAAUAAUAAUAGAAGCCUUGAGGCUUGAUAGUGUUGAAAUGGUAUUAUGAUUUGCCUCAAUUGUUGUUAUAUACUAGAUAGGUGAUUCAUGUUAUGCCAUGAGCUGGGUUAAUUUUUUCUCAAUGUAAAAAACAAAAUGUAAAGGCGAUGCUGAUGUUUUUAAAGAAGCAAGAAAAAUAUAAAAUCCAGAUUAUUGACUCAACUGAGUUUAAUAAGCCCAAUCAAUUUAAUAAUAUGAUUUAAAAAGACAUCGUAAAUACUGUGAAAAAAAAAAGUAAUUAACCAUAAAAAAAUAAGUUGUCACUAUGAUAUUCGAGAGGAGAAGAAAGAAAAGCCCAUUAGAGACCUACAGAAGUUCCAUCGUGGACACCGCUCAACCACCAGAAAGACCUUAUCAAGAUGAUUCUAAUGUCAUUAUGAAAUGCUCCAUGACAACACCAAAACAGACCGUACACAUUAUCAGAGCAAUGACCCAAAAGGAAAACUAAACAAAAGAUCAUGAGAUGAACAUCUCAUGUUUAUAUUUAAUUUAGUUCAAAAACAAGAUUUCUAUAUAUAAAAAAGCUAAAUUUAACAGAGAUCAACAAAUAGAAAGACUUAAGGAAAAAAAAAGAAGAAGCAAACCUGAGUGAAUUUCCUAAACUAGGUUAAUCUCUUAAAUUCACAAUAAGUGAAAUCCUAGAUCCAGACUUAAUUAAGAAGCUUGUUUUUUUUUACAAAUUCAAUGUUGAAGUAUAAAAUCAGAAAAAAAAUAUCAAUUCAAAAAAAUUAUGAAGGAAAAAAAAUAAUAAUUAAAAGAAUAAGGAUCAAAUUGGUGGGAAAAAAAACUAAAGGAUGAUGAACUCAUAAAAAAACUUCUAAAAAUCAUCUCAAAUAAAACAAAUAUCAAUUAAGAGAAUAAGGACCAAAUAUAAGAGAUAAAAAAUUGAAGGGAGAUGAUAUUGCAAAAAAAAUUAAAUUUCAUAAAUUAUUUCAAAUGAAACAAAUAGUAAUCAAAAGAAUAAAAAUUAACUCUAAAGGAAGAAUAAAUGAAAGGUUGCUUUCAAAUUUUAGAGGGUCAGCACAUAAACCAAGAGAGAGAGAGGGAAAAAGGGAAAAAAAGAAAAAGUUGGCCGCGCCAAACCAAAGCGCCAUUUGAAGCACAUUCCGCAAACAAAAGGGAUGUCGUAGUUUGACCAUCAUAUGGCUUCUCAAGCAUCUUCCAAAGGAUGCAAAGACAACCUACAUGGUAACAUAUGCAUUGCUUACACUAGCAAGUUUUUUUUUAAUAACAUUUAUAUUAAAUCAAUUACCAAAGAGCCCUUAACAAACUUGAAUAUUACAAAAAAAAAAAAAAACUCCAAUGUAAAAUGAUGCAAAUGGUCAUAAGUUAUAAAAUCUUUGCUUUCAAGGUUAAAUGAGUUAUUUUACUUUUUUUUUUUAAGAAAAAUACGAUAAAGCCUCUAGACCCAGGUUUUAAAAUAAUUUUUUUUAAGAAAGAUGAAGUAAUUUUAUUGCGCUGAAACAUAUGAAAAGACAUUUUUGAUGCCAUCUAAUUUGAAAAUGAUUUUUUGACCAUAAAAGACAAUUCUAUCCUUAUGAAAGGCUUAAUGAUUUUUAUAUAGAAUAACAAAAUUAUCAUUUCACUAAAAUAAUCCACAGUAACAUAUAUCUUGGUAUACAAUAAAAAACUAAGCUCUUAUAUUUUUUUUAAUAAGUGUUUUUUAUAUAGUACAAUGAAUCCUUCUAAACUUAGAAUACUAAAUGGAACAUACUAAAUUUAAAAUAUUAAACUGAAAAUGAUUACUGAAUAUAUAUAUAUAUAUAUAUAUAUAUUCAACAAAUAAAAUUAUCAUUCAAAUUUAAAGAUAAAUUAACUUAAAAUUAUGUAAUUCAAAUUUUAAAGACGUAAAAAAAUAGGAGUUGAGCCGAUAUGACUUAAUCGACUCUCGACGAGUCUGUAAACAAUCUAGACAACUGAUAAAAAUAUAUUUUAAAAAAAAAUCAAGAAGAAAUUUUUUUUUGAAAAAAUAUUGAGAUGACAACAUAUUGGAUUGACCCAGGUCAACCUAAGUUAACCUUUCAAAUUCGCGACAUAGAUCAAAAGACCAUGAUAACUCCAAAUAAAACAAAUCAUAAAGCUCAAUUUUCAAUAAACUCAUUUUUGAAUGACGAAAUUAGGAAAAAUUCAAUUUUAAAAAAGAUCACAAUAGAAUGAUCUAAAUCUACUUGGGUUAACUUGCAAAACUCAUAACCCAGAUCAUGAGGUUAUGAUAAUUUCAUAGAAAACAAACUGAAACAAAUAACAAAGCUUAAUAUAUAAUCAACCAAAUAUUAAAAAUAUUAAAUAGUGAAACUAAAUAAAAAUCAAUUAAAAAAAAAAAAAAACUCAAGUCAACUAAGUUAAUUCAUCAAACAACAUGGAAAGGAAUCUACAACUUUUAUCUUUAUCAACUAGGGUAAAAUUGUAACUGAACUAUGAAUAGGUAGAAGAAUAGCUAGAAUAAUAUUGCGGUGUGUCCAACACUCUUGUGCAGUCAAUUGUGGAGAAUAAUAUUGCGGAGUGUCCAACAGUCUUGUACGGGAAUGUAAUAUGAAAAGGAUUGCUCUAAAGGCAACUCAUGCAAAAGCAACAAGUAAGAGUUCAUUAAUAAUAUAAUUACCGUGUUUCCAACACUCACUACUCUUGUUUAGUCUUCUUAUAUAUAUAUUUAAAAACACCCAGCUAAUGACUUUGAUCCCUCGUCUUUAAAUGUGUGGAAAUAUUUGCAAUGCAGUAUUCAACACUGUACAAAGGAAGACUCACAUAACAUUGUUGCCGAGGGGAAAAUUUGAAACCGCAUUCCCUCAAAUUUCAAAAACAAAAUUCGUUAUAAAUUAUUUUUUUAUAUUUUUAUAUCGUUUUGAUAUACUGAUCAUAAAAAUAAUUUUUAAAAAAUAAAAAACACUUUAAACCUAUCACAAUCUCAAAGAUUUCAUUUCUACGUAACAAAAGCCGAAUAUUAGAAAAAUUAUCCUGGAAACUAAUAUUGCCGUGUUUCCCACACUUGUAUGGAAAUAUUUAAACUUUCAAUAAUUAAACCUUCAGUCCCAUGUUUUGCGCCACUUGUUUGACAAUAUAUAUAUAUAUAUAUAUUAGUUGCGGAGACUUAAAGGUCAAUGAAACGGACAGACUUGAAAAAAGAAUGAUCUAAAGAGAAAUGGAUGAUCUAUCACAAUCUAAUUAUUUUAAUGGCAUUUUAGUCAUUAAUAUUACUCUAAAGAGAAAUGGAUGAUCUAUUCAAUAAUCUCACAGUUUAAGUUCAAAACAUUAAAAGGUAAUUUCUUGUAUACUUUAUCUACGUUUUGGUGCUUAAAUCAUGCAUGGCCACAUACCUAAUUAAGAUGUGAAUUAACUACGUUUGUAAAUUAUUAAAAAACAAUUCUUUCUAUUGAAAAUGUUGUGCCUCGAUUUCUUAAUUUUUGGAAAUUAAAGUCAGUAUGUAAAGCACUCGUAUUUCUUUUUCCCUAAAAAUAUUUUCAUGUAAAAUUCCACCUCCGAUAUCUAUAAAAUUAAUUAUUAGCACCAUUACUUUGCGGGGAAAUUAUUUAGUAGAAACAAAGACUUUGGGGUCAAGAAAAAGGACAGACCAAGUCCUAAGUGAUUCCCCAUAAAAAAGACUUUAGUUCGUGACUACGCUGAACUUUCCUUUCUUUGUUUACGGCCACUUUGUUUCCCAGGGGACAGGCCACGUCGUCAGUUAAUAAACUGUUGAUUUGUUUGUGUAUAAAUAGUACCAAUGCGAAUCUUUACUUCUCAUCUUUCGCUCAACACUCCAAAUAUACUUUCGAAUCCUGUAAGGCCAGCCAACAUGGGGUUUUCACCGCUGUCCCUCCCUCAAUUUCUCUCUUCCAUUCUGUUUCUCUUCCAUUUCCACACAGCAAUUUCUUCAUCAAAUUACUCCUCUUCAUCUCAUUUCUGUGCUCCUGACCAAAGCCUUUCUUUGCUCCAAUUCAAAGAGUCCUUUUCCAUUAAUAGCUCUGCUUCAGGGCGUUGCCAGCAUCCCAAGACAGAGUCGUGGAAAGAGGGUACAGACUGCUGCUCGUGGGAUGGGGUCACUUGUGAACUGGAAACUGGGCAAGUCACUGCACUGGACCUUGCUUGCAGCAUGCUUUAUGGCACCCUCCAUUCCAAUAGCACCCUCUUCUCCCUGCAUCAUCUUCAAAAGCUCGACCUCUCUGACAAUGAUUUCCAAAGCUCCCAUAUUUCUUCUUCAUUUGGCCAGUUCUCCAAUCUGACACAUCUUAACCUAAAUUUCUCAGGCUUUGCAGGUCAAGUACCGUCGGAAAUCUCUCAGCUCUCCAAAUUGGUUUCACUUGAUCUCUCUGGAAACUACUACCCAAGUCUAGAACCAAUUUCUUUUGACAAGCUUGUUCGAAACCUAACCAAGCUUAGAGAACUCGAUUUGAGUUGGGUAAACAUGUCACUAGUUGUUCCCGAUUCCUUGAUGAAUCUGUCUUCUUCUCUGUCAUCGCUCACACUCUAUUCGUGUGGAUUGCAAGGAGAAUUCCCGUCCUCAAUGGGAAAAUUUAAGCACCUCCAGCAGUUGGAUCUUGCAGAUAACAAACUUACAGGUCCAAUUUCAUAUGAUUUUGAGCAACUCACUGAGUUGGUUUCACUUGCUCUCUCUGGAAACGAAAACGACUAUCUAAGUCUAGAACCAAUUUCUUUUGACAAGCUUGUUCAAAAUCUAACCCAGCUUAGAGAACUCUAUCUGAGGUGGGUGAAUAUGUCAUUGGUUGAACCCAAUUCCUUGAUGAAUCUGUCUUCUUCUCUGUCAUUACUCGUACUCUAUUCAUGUGGAUUGCAAGGAAAAUUCCCAUCCUCAGUGAGAAAAUUUAAGCACCUCCAGUACUUAGAUCUUAGAUACAGCAAUCUUACAGGUUCAAUUCCAGAUGAUCUUGGACAACUCACUGAGUUGGUUUCAAUUGAUCUCUCUUUCAAUGCCUAUUUGAGUGUAGAACCAAGUUCUUUUGACAAGACUCUUCAAAACCUAACCAAGCUAAGAGGACUCCGUUUGGGUUAUGUAAAUAUGCCUUUGGUCAUACCUAAUUCCUUGGCGAAUCUGUCAUCAUCCUUGUCAGCUCUUGCCCUUUGGGGUUGUGGAUUGCAUGGGAAGUUCCCAGAUAACAUCUUUCUCCUACCAAACCUUGAAGUGCUUGAUUUGACAUACAACGACGACCUCACUGGCUCUUUUCCUUCAUCCAAUGUGAGUAAUGUCCUCCGGUUAUUGGGUCUUACUCGUACGAGAAUUUCAGUUCAUUUAGGAAAUGACUUCUUCAAUAAUCUAAAGUUGUUGGAAGUUUUGGUUCUUAGAAAUUCUAAUAUCACAAGGUCAAAUCUGUCCCUUAUUGGUGAUCUCACACAUCUCACUCGUUUAGAUCUCGCAGGUAGCAAUUUUAGCGGUCAGAUUCCAUCAUCAUUUACAAAUCUUGUGCAACUUCAAUCCUUGUAUCUUGAUAACAAUAAUUUUUCAGGUAGGAUUCCAGAGUUUUUAGGUAACCUUACCCACCUUGAAAAUUUAGGUUUAUCCAAUAAUCAACUCUCAGGACCUAUCCCUUCUCAAAUAAGUACUCUUUCAUUGAGAUUGUUUGAUUUGAGCAAAAACAACUUGCAUGGUCCAAUCCCAAGUUCAAUUUUCAAACAAGAGAACCUGGUAGCCCUUUCUCUUGCAUCCAACAGUAAAUUAACAGGUGAAAUUUCUUCCUCUAUUUGCAAGCUUAAAUUCCUUCGACUCCUUGAUUUGUCCAACAACAGCUUGAGUGGUUUUAUACCACAAUGUUUAGGGAACUUUAGCAACUCUCUCUCAGUUUUGAAUCUUGGCAUGAAUAAUCUUCAAGGCACUAUCUUUUCACAAUUUUCAAAAGGGAAUAACUUGGGAUAUCUCAACCUAAAUGGCAAUGAAUUGGAAGGGAAAAUACCAUCGUCUAUCAUCAACUGCAUAAUGCUGCAAGUUCUUGAUCUUGGUGACAAUAAAAUUGAGGACACAUUUCCCUAUUUUCUAGAAAAGCUUCCAGAGCUGUAUAUCCUUGUCCUAAAGUCCAAUAAACUCCAUGGUUUUGUGACUAGUCCGACUACUAAAAAUUCAUUCUCCAAAUUGCGGAUCUUUGACAUCUCCAACAAUAAUUUGAGUGGACCUUUACCAAUAGGGUAUUUCAAUAGUUUUGAAGCAAUGAUGGCCUAUGAUCAAAAUCCGUUUUACAUGAUGGCCUAUUCCAUAAAAGUGACAUGGAAAGGGGUUGAGAUUGAGUUCGAGAAAAUCCAAAGCACUCUUAGAAUGCUUGAUUUGUCAAACAACAGUUUCAUCGGAGAAAUUCCAAAGAUGAUCGGAAAGUUUAAAGCAGUUCAACAACUCAACCUCUCUCAUAAUUCCCUUACAGGCCAUAUUCAAUCAUCAUUUGGAAUGUUGACCUAUCUGGAAUCAUUAGAUUUGUCUUCGAAUUUGCUUACCGGAAGGAUUCCAGUACAGUUGGCAGAUCUAACAUUUCUUGCAGUCUUAGACCUUUCACAUAACAAGCUUGAGGGGCCCGUACCCGGGGGAAAGCAGUUCAACACGUUCAAUGCAAGCUCAUUUGAAGGAAACUUGGACUUAUGUGGAUUCCCCAUGCCAAAAGAAUGCAAUAAUGACGAGGCACCACCAUUGCAGCCAUCAAACUUUCACGAUGGAGAUGAUUCAAAAUUCUUUGGAGAAGGAUUUGGAUGGAAAGCUGUGGCAAUAGGGUAUGGAAGUGGGUUUGUGUUUGGAGUCACAAUGGGAUACGUUGUGUUCAGAACAAGAAAACCAGCAUGGUUUCUGAAAGUUGUUGAAGAUCAAUGGAAUCUGAAGGCAAGAAGAACGAAGAAGAAUGCUCGUAGGAAUGGUGCAAGAAGAAACUAAACAACGGAGCUAGUAACAUGAGGUAAGUUCUGCAAGCAUUAUUUGACAUCUUAAGGUUUUACGUGCAAGAGUUUAUGCUAUUUUUUCUGUGCUAUUUCCUUUGAUUAGUCUUUUCUUUCGCUUUCGGAUUCAUUAAAUAAAAAAAAUUAUUUGUAUGUUUCUCUAUUGCAGUGAAGUUAGGAAUAAACAUUCUCGCUACCUUAUGAGAUACCAAGUGGAGGUUGACAUGAGAAGAACGCUAGAGUGGCAGAUUCAGAGAAUUGGAUUCCUCUUUCGUACUGCUUCUGUUUUCCUUCAUGGUUGUGUUUUAAUUUUAUUUUUUUUAUUAGUUGUAUUCGAUACAUGGAAUAUUUUCGAGUCACUUAAUAUGCAUGUUUUUAUUUAUUUAUUUUUAUGGUUAGUUUUGAUGCAAGGUUUGGGUGUUACAUCUAUUAAAAAAGAACCAAUGCAUGCAGCAGUUGUUACAACUUUACUUCAAUCACCCUUUCUUAGUGUAUUCAAACUUUACUUCAAUCUCUAAAUAAACUAUUUAUUUAUUUAGGAGUGCGCUUUAACAUUUCGAUUCAUUAACAAUUUAUCAAAGUUAAUCCAUACAACUAAAAUACAUGUAAACUGCAUAUAUAUGUCGGACAGCUUUGCAAUAUUGAAAAAAGAAAAUACAGAAAACAUUCGCAUUAUCAUUUUCUUUAUGGUAUCAGAGCUCUAGUUCUGAGAACCUAGCUAGGAAUCCAUACAACUAAAAUACCUCAUGCCUGGUGACGAAGACCAAAAGCUUCUUGAAUAUAACAGGCGCUGUCGAACUCUUUCAAGACCUCAGAACCAUGGGAGAACUCCAAUCAUCCACCUUUUCUCCAUCACUCCGAUCAACCCGGCGCUGUCCUCGUUUCACAACAAAUUCUAGUGCUCUGUUCCUUGCCUACUUUUGGGCAGUGUUAUCAUGCAAACAGAAGCGUUGGCAAAGUAAGUAGUUCCAAAUAUUUCUAGCAUAGAUUUAUGCAUGCAAAAUAGUAAUGUGAAUAAGCAACCUUGUUAAAGCUUAGCUCCUGGAAAUGGAAUGCCGCCGCAAAUUGCAACUGGAAAAAAAAAACCAAAUAUGUAAUUUGGUGGCUAGUCUUGUUAGGUUUCGGAAUCAAAACAAUUAAAGCUUGAUUUGUAAAUCAUAUUUUAGAGAUUUAGUUUGAUUGUAGUUUUUGUAAUUAAAUCCUAAAAAUUAGUUGCUAGUCUGUCAGUUUACUUAUUUAGACAAGAUCUUUUCUAUGUAAACUAUAUAUAUGCAUUGUAGAAAUCACACAGAAUAAUAAAACUGCCUUGCUGUUCUUCAAACUCCCACAGUCAGCUUUCUUGUUUUCUUCAAGUCUUGCAAACGAGACCGACUCGUUCCUCGUAAUGAUGCAGCUGUCGACCAUCAACCUCGCACCUACAAGAAAUGGUGAGGCAUAUUACAGCACUUACAGUAUUAAACGGGUAGCAACGAUGAAGCGAAGACGAGGCCGGUGCCAGAAACAGAGCAUUUCACUCAUAACCAUGGACUUGGAUUGCAAUGAGAUAACAGCGAAGGAUUCAAAAGCCUUAUUUAGAACAUGCAUGUUUGUGAGUAAUUCAUAUUAAGAAUUUUUCUGCUUCCAGUUGCUACAGUAAUUUAGAAAAUGCAUGGACGUUUACCGGUUUCGAUUGUUAUUGGAUAAGCAUGAAUACGGUAAUCGAGAUUAAGCAAUGAAAUUGAUUGAGAAUAUUAACAAUCAACGAAAAUCAAUUAAGAUUCAGACUACAAAUAGAAAUAAAAUAUGAAAAUCUAAUUACCUACGAUUCCUUCUUCGCUUCGUUCUCCCAUUUUUAUGUAUUCAGCAUCAAUAGUGUCAGCAUCAGGUAAGAAGGUUGAGAUAUGCGCAUACUUACCUUAACCAAAGUCGAGGUGGGAAGAAUGCCUGCUUCUGAGAUUCACAUUAUAAGAACAAGAAGAUAUUCAAAGAGAGGAAGAAGAACAAGAGAAGCCUUGAGGCUUGAUAGUGCUGAAAUUGUGUUAUGAUUUGCCUUAAUUGUUGUUAUAUACAAGUGUUUUUUUUUAUAUAGUUCAAUGAAUCCUACCAAACUUAAAAUACUAAAUUGAAAAUAUUAAACUGAAUAUAUAUGAUUACAAUAAUUUAAUACACAGGUCUCGGGCCUUUAUUAAAUUAUGCUGGAUCAGACUAAACUUCAUGCCUCAACACACAUGUCAUCCAUCAAUGAACUUUUUCUUCUGAUCUUGUCCUCCAUGGAAUCUAAUUAGAGAACAAAAUGUAUCUAAUAGCAAGGAAAAAGUUGCUUAAAUUGCAAACUAAUUACAUGAGAAAUAAAAGUGAAGAAAUUCAUGCAUAUGAUUAAAUAAAAACAGGAAUUAAGAAAUUUUUAAAAAUAAAUUUUCGGGCAAAAUAAUUCGAGACAUUAUAAAUAAACACGGUAAUGUUGAGGGUUGGAUUUAAUUGAAGAGAACAAUACACUUAAAGGAAAUGGGGCCUAAAUGCAAAUAAGAGAAAUUAUGGAGUAUAAAUACUCUUCUCCUCAUAAAAAAUCUGCAAGAACCAUAAGGAAAGAAAAUAGGGAGUUUUGUAUCCAUUCUUGCAAAAUCAAGAGAGAAACACUAAAAUUUCAAGAAUCCAUUUAAAAUUAAGAGUUUAUAGAUGGAAUAAACACUUGUGAGUAAGGGAUUAACAAGAAAAAUUGAAGUCCUCAAGGGGCGUGGCGUGAUGGCAAAGGGGUUGAGAUCUGCACAGUAGGUCUCGAGUUCGAGUCAAGGCGUGUACCUCUUGUAAGAGCCUGGGACAGUCGGGGUUUUACUCGCUCACCUGGGCCCAUAAAGUGCGCUUUCCGGGGGGUGGUGUUUCCUCAAAUCCAAAAAAAAAAGAAAAAAAGAAAAAGAAAAAGAAAAAUUGAACUAGAAGAGAAGAAGGAGGGCAGACUGUCAUUAAAAAAGAAAGGAGGGAGUUGAAAAUCUUUAACUGGUUGAAAAUCAAAAUCUUAAUUUGUAUCGGGUAUGGUGUUCUAAACAUAAUCUUAAAAUUCAUUUCAAAUUCGAUAAUGAAUCGAUGCCUUGAUAUUGAAUUAUAGGUUAGGGUUCUUAUACAUGAAAUGGGGAAAAAGUAUUUGUUGUUAAAAUUAAGUUAAUUCAUGUGUGGUAUGUGAUGGGGGGCGUGAAACCCAAAUAAUUUACCCAUAAAAUAUAGUUUGUGAAAGUAUUGUGUGAAGGGAAGGGGGUGACGAAUUUGGACAGACUUGUCUCCUAACUUUCGGUGAGAUUUUGGAUAAGAGGAUGAAAUAAUUAGGAUCGGAUUCCUUCAUGGACAUUGUAGUUUUGGAUGUUAGCUAACCAAGGAAACUAGUCUUGCUCAAUUUGGAGCUGUAGAACUCCAGUUAUGGGUCACCAACCAAUACUGAGUCGUGACUGAUUCUGUAGGGCAGUAAGACUGAUUAGUUGAUGAGCAAUUUUGACUUUCUUGGAGGUAGAAUUGGGUUCUCCUUCCUUUAGAGAACUUGUAACCUCGUGUCUUAGCUUUCCAACGAGAUCAAUAUCACUUGAAAUGGAGUUCUAGAACUCUGUAUAUAGUUAAAAAUCUGAGGAGUGUUCAGACAGUAACAAUUGGACAGUAACAAUUCAAUGUCUAGACAGUAAUAAUUCAAUUUCUAGACAGUAAUCGUUAGACAGUAACAGUUGGACAGUAACAGUUCAAUGUCUAAACAGUAACAGUUCAAUGUCUAGACAGUAACCGUUGGACUUUCACGUGAAUACUAUAUGUAAGAAUAUAAAAGAAUUGAGUCAUACGAACACUUGCACAUUGAGAUACUAACUCUGAAAAUAUACAUGAUAUAUGUAUGUAUGUUAUUAUGAGAAAAUGAACAUGCAUAGAAAGUAACAUAUGAGUAAUAAAUGAAUAUGGAUUCUCUAUAAUAUCGGCUUGAAGGAAUCAUAACCAAAAACUUCCUUGUGAUUCAGGAGGAGCAACCAGGAUUGGAUCUUCUAUUAGGGGAGGUCACGAGACAGACGGAGCAGGUGCGUGAUUUUCCCUCCUAUUUGCACUUCUACAAUUUAAAAUACUUCUGGUGAAUGCAAUUACAAUAAAUAUCGUAUUCAAUGUAAAUAAAGUCUAGUGUAUUUACAAGAUUAGGUUCGACUAAUGGCAUCCGUGAUAGGAUUGCCGGGAUAUGAAUCACAGGAUUAGGUUCGGCUAAUGGCAUCCGUGAUAGGAUUGCUGGGAAAUGAAUCACAGGAUUAGCUACGGCUAAUGGCAUCUGUGAUAGGAUUAGCUUCAAAUUGUUGGGAAAUGAAUUACAAGAUUAGCUACGAUUAAUGGCAUCCGUGAUAGGAUUGCCGAGAAAUGAAUUACAAGGGUAGCUUGGGCUAAUGAUGUCCGCGUUGGGAUGCCCGGGCACGAUUGAUAAGACUCGAUUUGUAAAAAGUAUCCGUGUUCGAAUGACCUGGGGAAAUUGAUAAUUGCCUAAAAAUGUCCAUGUUGGACUUUGCAAGGUUACCCGGUUCAUGCAAGUAAAUAAGAGUAUUCAAAUUAAAAAUAUGCAAAUGAGUGUUAAUUGGGUUUAAAUGAAUUACAAGUAAAAUAUAUGUUGUCUGUUAGAAUUUGUAUGGAUCCGAUAGAAAAUUUAUAUGUCAUUCAUAUACAUUACAUGAGCAUAUAUAUAUAUUUCUUUUAUCAACAUAAUGGUAUGUUUAUUUAUGUAACAGGUCCAUCAAAUAUCCAGGGAGAUCAUUAGUUUAUGACUCUACUUUGUCAAGCUUAUGUAAAUAUUUAACUUAAACAUAAUGGAAUUAACGCGUUUAUAUAUUAUGCUUUUGUGUAAACCUUGAUGUAUUUAUAAAAGUUCAGUUUAACAUGUAGUACUUUAGUUAUCUUGUAAUUAACCCUUUUCAAAUGUUUAAGAACACUUAUUAUGUUGUAAAUGCUCUCCUUGCAUGUUAGUAUUCAUUUUUCUUUUAAAUUUUAUGAUAUGAUAUGUGGGCUAUUGUCGCAAGUGUGCGGCGUCGCGGCGAUCGCCCACCAUCCAAGAAAAAAAGAAAAAUGGAAUGUGGUGUAUUCCUGGCAAAUGUGUAGAGACAAAGAAUUCUUGUCUCCUAUCAGUAAAAAAUGAAUAGGAGUUGCCACCUAGUAUUCUGGUCACUAGGAACCCUAACUGGUCUCAGAGAUCGGGUACGGAGACUAGUUGCGUAAAGGGAAGGUAUUAGCACCCCAAAUACGCCCUACCUAAGAUAGGCUGCAUUGUUUUGUCUGAUAAAAUCUCAAGUCAUGUUGUGGUUUCUAAUUGUUGGUCUGUCUAAGGUUCAAGACAAGCCCCCCUUUAGAAGGAGGUUCUUAUCUUAAUGCGAUAAAAUCUAACCGUUCUAUUGUCCAAAAAAUAAUUAAAUAUCCAGAAUAUGCAUUAUGUGUAAUGUCGUACCCCAGAUACUAACAGAUAAACAAAAUAAAAUUUUUGUUGUUUUUGAAAUUUUGGCCAAUGUUCUCUUGACUUUAAUAAACUGGUUAUUAAAGCCAAAAUGCAUGAUGAAACAUUGUUUUAUCAAAUUUUUUUUUUGUGUAUGAAAAACACACUAUGAUUUUGUUAGCUUUGAGACACUUGGCCGAAUGCACAAAAACAUUUUUUAUUUUUUCAAUUUUUUUCGUAUUUUUGGAAGUUUUGACGACAACCAGGUAUUUUAAUAUCAUAUUUGUAUUUUUACCAUGUAAAAUACUGCCCGAUAUUAAUCAAAAUAACAUAAAAACUACGCGGAAAAAAAAAUAAAAUGCUGAAACAAAUAUUUUUAAUUUUUUUUCUUGAAAUGGGCCGGAUCAGGCCCAAAUGCAUAGGUUGGGCCAAACAGCCCAACUAUAUGGGCUGGGCUCGGCCCAGCCCACAUUAGCUAGUUACUGUGCAUGAGCACAGUAAUCAGCUUCUCCCCGCCUACAGACGUGCACUGUGCACGUCUUGCGUGGCGAGGGAAGAAGUGAAGGCAAAAUAAAAAUGGCGGAGGGCUUACCUGGAGUGGCGGCGACGCUGGUGGCUGCUGGCGGCGAAGGCACGGUGGCCGGCGGUUUCUCCUCCUUCUUCCUCUGUGUUUUCUUCUUCCUUCGCUGUCUGUUUUUUCUUUCUUUUUCUUUCCUUUUCCUCUCGUCUUUUCUCUUCUCUUCUCUUCUCUUCUCUUCUCUUCUCUGUUCUGUCUCUCUCUCGUCCCUCUGUCCCUCUCUUUUUUUCAUUUGUUCUCGGUCUUUCGGUCUCUCUCUUCCCUCUCUUCCCUGUUCUGUUUUUCUUCCCCUUCCCCUGUUUUUAUAGGCAAAAACAGGGGAGGGAGACGUGGCUGGGGCGGCCACUGUGCUGCCGCCCCGAACCUCCCAAGGGGUAUGUCCCCUUCCUUCUUCCACCACGUGGCAAGCAAGUGGGUUGUUGGCGUCUUUUUUAGAGAGAGCUGGCGGUGGAACAAAAGAAAAAAUCUUCUUCUUCUUCCCCUGCUUCGCGUGUCCAAGGGAAGAAGAAGACAUGGGUGCCGUUCCAAACGGCACCGUUUCCAGCCUUUCUCUUGUUAUUUUAUUUUUUUAAUUUUUUUUUAUAACAGUGCAUGAAACGGCGUCGUUUUUCCCAAAACGCGUCGUUUCAUUUAAAUGGAUUUUGGCGCCAAAAACACGUCAGAUUCAAAAUCAGGCCUUCAAUUUGCGCGCGUUUUGCUUUUUGGUCCUUGGUCUCGGAUUUCUUCAAUUAAGUCCCUAAUUGGCCAUCAAACUUCAAUAUUUAUGCAAUUAAUCCCCUGAUUUGAUCAAAUUAACUCUAAAAAAAUAUAAUUUGAUCCCAGAACUUUAAUUACUUUAAAUUAAAGCCCAAAUUAACUCCAAAAUCAAUUUUUCUUGCAAUCAAAACCUCCAUAAAUUCAAUUAAACCUUCAAUAAAAUUUAAUUGAGUCCAUAAAUAUCUGAUUUUGGACUUUUCUUCCUCAAAUUCAAUUUUUUUUGUCAAUAGGGUUGUCAUCAGUUAACAAAAUAUUGCCAAAUUUUAAUCUUUGUAUUUUUUAACCUCCUCAACCAAUUUUUACCUAUUUUUUGGGUGCGCUGACAUCUUUUUUUCACUGUUUAUAUUUUUUGAUAGUAUAUUUUUUUUGUAUUUUAUUAUUUUUUGUGCGGGACCAAAAAUGAGUUACAACAGCUAUGUUCAUAUUGAACUUACUCGUAGGAUAUAUAUAUUGUGUGGAUUGUAUGAGGUGUUAAAUUAUGAUGAUUGAAAUAAUUAAGGUCCGGAAUUAUGGGACUUAUGAUGAUAAGUUGAUUGAGUAAAUUGAUAGUAGUUGAUAACUUGAGAUGUUGUAAAUACAAAUGAAACUCUGCCGAAUUUUUGGUAGAUUUCAAAAAAAAAAUACCCUCAAAUUAAGAGCAUAUAUUGAGAUCUUUUAACGUUGAUCAAGUCGUACAAUCGGGUCUGUUACAUACAUUUUCUACAGAUGUAAAUAUGAAGGGAUAUCAUCUUUACGUAUCUUUACCUAAAAUUGUUAAUGAACUAUAUAUGAAUAGUCCGAAAUGAUUUCCACAAAAAAUGUCAAUUAUGGAAAUUAAUAUUGCCGUGUUUCCAACACUAUUGUUUAGUCAACUAAGGGACCUACUUGUAUAGAAAUAUUUGCAAUUGAAUAAUUCAACCUUCAAUUCCAUAUUCAGCACCAAAUGAAGAUUAGCACAUAAACUUGCUGCAAAUGUAAAUGUAGGGAUAUUAUCUACUCUCAACAAAAAUCAUGGAGCCACUUCAUUUGUGAACAAUAAGAAACCGUUUGCUCUAUAGGCAACUCAUGCAAAAGAAACAAAGAAGAGUUCGCUAGCAACAAUAAAAUAAAUUUAAAUUAAAUAGCUUGCUCUUGAAUUAUGGAAAUGUCUUGUAGGACUACCACUUCAAAUCAUAAACUCAUUUAAAAUGGAGUAGGUAGUAACAUGCUAAUUAUUUUAAUGGCAUUUUAGUCAUUAAUAUUACUCUAAAGAGAAAUGGAUGAUCAAUUCAAUAAUCUCACAGUUUAAGUGAUCAAAACAAUAGAAGGGUAUUCAAUAAUAGACACAGUAAUUUCUUGUUUACUUUAUCUACGUUUUGGUGCUUAAAUCAUGCAUGGCCACAUACCUAAUUAAGAUGUGAAUUAACUACGUUUGUAAAUUAUUAAAAAACAAUUCUUUCUAUUGAAAAUGUUGUUCCUCGAUUUCUUAAUUUUUGGAAAUUAAAGUCAGUAUGUAAAGCACUCGUAAUUUGUUUUCCCUAAAAAUAUUUUCAUGCAAAAUUCCACCUCCGAUAUCUAUAAAAUUAAUUAUUAGCACCAUUAAUUUGCGGGGAAAUUAUCUAUAAAAGUUUUUUAUCUCCUUAUCUAGAGAUCUUGUUGAGUGGAGUUUGUCCCUUACAUGUUCUGCUCUUAGAGUUAGUCUUCCAACCAGGAUAAGACUCUUCCUUAAACUUUGAAGUUUCACUGUUAUCUUCCCUCCAUUGUUUUCGAUAUUAUUGGUAACAGACUGUUACACAAUGCACUGAUACCAACAGCUGAAACUAUAUACGUAACAUCCCUUCAAUGUGUAACUUUGUUAGUUCAUUUCACUGCGAACCUCCAUAUAUCAUUCUUGUCUGCCAUAGACUCUCUCUCUAAAUUCUAAACCGAUUGCCAGGUUGUUCGCACAAAGUUUUUUGACAUGCCACCUUUGACUGUCUCGGAAGCUAUUGAGCAGCUGGAAAAUGUGGAUCAUGAUUUCUAUGGUUUCAGGAAUGAAGAAACUGGUAUGAACUUAUGCAGCUUGUUUCAAUUUCUUUUUCACUUAUCCUCUGCAAUCUGUUAACUAAUAUAGGUACUGAAUUGCUGUGUGCUUGAUUCCAGGUGAGAUAAAUAUUGUUUACAAAAGAAAAGCUGGUGGAUAUGGUCCCAUCAUACCUAAAGGAAAUUACGAAGCUGAGAGAUUAGAGCCUUUGGUGGUAGAACCAGCUAGAGAACCAUCAUUGGCAGAGUAACCAGGUCUAGAAAAUAAGAUCUUCCUAUAAAAUAGAUUACAAAAUCCACGUUUUCGGUAAUGCUGUAUAUACAAUGCUAAGGCAUCUAAGAGAGCAUGAUAUAGGGUUCGAGACCUGGUGAACGCACACUAACGAGAUAUCAUGACAUGAUUGUACUGGUUAUUAGAUUUUGGAAGAUUAGGUUCAGUGUGCUGUGUCCCAACUUUUACUGGAAUGAGAAGACAAAUCUUGCAAUUUAUAAGAUGGAAAUCAAUUCGAUAAAGUCUUCUUUCCAUGUGGUCGAGUCUUAACUAUUUUCUCUUUCCUGUGGAUUUUCACUUCUUUGUUAUGUAUGGAAAUCAAUUCGAUAAAGUCUUCUUUCCUGGUGUAUUUUCUCUUCAUGCUAUGCAUGAUUCUUUGCUUGCUGCCAUGUUUGCUUUUCCUUAGUUGUGAAUUCUCUCUGGCGAAGUUUCGCGCGAGCCUACUUCUGUGAAACUUCUGCUUAUGUUCAAACAAGUUAAAAUUGGAUUUCUUACAACAUGUGCCCCAUCUGACCCAGUUGAGGUCGAGACUUGCAUUUGCCUUCCAGAGCGGUGGAAAGCUUCUUGGUGAAAGAGAUGUCCAUUAUCCCGGUUAUGGAAAUGUCAAGUGGAGGUUCAGUAAAGGGCUUAUAUGUGGAUAAAACAGCUCCCCUCCCUGUUAGCAAUACUAUCAUGAAGUUUACGAGCAUAUAUUGUUAGGAUACUGGCAUGCAAACCCGACAAGAUAAAAGGCAAAGGAUAGGAUAAAAUGAGAAAUUAGACACACAAGAAUUUACGUGGUUCACCCAAUUUGGCUACGUCCACGGACAAGUAUAGAAGGAUUUUACUAAGUAAUGUGGGAAUUACAACCUCUCUUCAACAAUAGGAGAACAACUGAAAUCUCUCAAUUACUAGGAGAAAACACCUCACUUACUCUCUCAUAAAUACCUCACAACUUUGUGGGAUUACUCUCUCUUCACUCUCUCUACUUGCUCUCAAGUUUCUCUCUUGUGGUGUGCAUCUAAUGCUUGGAUGCAUUGCCUAUUUAUAGGCAAGCAUCCAUGCAAGAGACAAGGGGCACCAAUUGGUGCUGCAAGUGGCACCGAAUUGGUGCCCAACAUUGUUGACUUUGCCAACAAUGCUAGCUGGCUUCACAUUCUCCCACUUGAAGACUUUGAUGAUUUAAUCAAGUCUUCACACUUGAUCAUCUGUGAUUCUUCUAUCCUUUCUAUACUUGUCAUCUUCAUGCUGCUUACGUUUCUGUUAGGCCAUAAGAGGAUCUGCACCAUAUAUACUUGUCAGUGUUGACUGGUUUGGUCAAAGCAUCUGCUGGGUUUUCCUUUGUGUGAACCUUCUGAAAAUCCACACUUCCAUCUUCCACCACUUCGCGAACAAAGUGAUACUGAACAUCUAUGUGUUUUGUUCUUGAAUGAAACGCUGGAUUCCUUGCAAUAUGCAAGGCACUCUGACUAUCACAAUACAAAAGAAUCUUCUCUUGUUUGUGCCCGAGCUCCUCCAUAAGUUUCUUCAUCCAUAUUGCUUCUUUACAAGCUUGUGUAGCUGCCAUGUACUCAGCUUCUGUUGUGGAUAAAGCUACAACAGUCUGAAGUUUAGAGACCCAGCUCACAGCUCCUCCUGCAAUUAUGAACACAUAGCCUGUAGUGGAUUUUCUUUUCUCAAGGUCGCCAGCAAAAUUUGAAUCAACAUAACCUCUGAUAGUAGAUUCUGAUCCUCCAUAACAUAAUGCGGCAUCUGAGGUACCCUUGAUGUAUCUCAAGAUCCUCUUAAUAGUAUUCCAAUGCUCUCUACCAGGAUUUGCCAUGUAUCGACUAGCUGCUCCCACUACUUGUGCAAUGUCUGGUCUUGUACAUAUCAUGGCAAACAUUAAACUUCCCACUGCUGAUGCAUACGGUACUCGAGACAUCUCCAUCCUCUCUGCUUCAUUGCUAGGAGACAUACUUGAGGAUAAUUUGAAGUUAACAGGAAGUGGGGUGGAAAUUGGCUUACAAUCUUGCAUGUUGAAGCGUCGCAAGAUCUUCUUCAAAUAAUUUUUUUGAGAAAGCCAAAUCUUCCUCUUACUUCUAUCUCGGUGAAUUUGCAUCCCUAGAAUCUUGUUUGCUGGUCCUAAGUCCUUCAUAUCAAACUCCCUAGCCAAUUGUGCCUUCAAUUCUUGGACUCGAUCUUUGUUGGGGCCUAUUACCAACAUGUCAUCCACGUACAACAACAGAAUGAUGAAAACAUCAUUUUCUUCAAACCUCUUGUAAUACGUACAAUGGUCUGAACUGAGUCUGUUGUACCCAAGGCUAAUUAUGAAGGAAUCAAAUCUCUUGUACCAACACCUCGGCGCUUGUUUGAGACCGUAUAGAGAUUUGUUCAACCUGCAAACCAAGUUCUCCUUGCCUGUUUCAGCAAAACCCUCUGGUUGGAGCAUAUAAAUUUCUUCUUCAAGUUCUCCAUGAAGAAAUGCAGUUUUCACAUCUAACUGCUCUAAGUGAAGAUCAAAUAUAGCACACAUUGCCAAGACUACUCUGAUUGUAGUAAGUCGUACCACCGAAGAAAAUAUCUCAUUGAAGUCUAUUCCUUCUUUCUGAGCAUAUCCUUUCACCACCAAUCUUGCACGAUACCGCUCCACUUGAUCAUUGCCAUCACGCUUUAUCUUGUAAACCCAUUUGUUGCCAAUGGCCUUUCUUCCUUGUGGUAGCGGAACAAGAUCCCAAGUGUUAUUCUUGUGCAGAGCUUCAAUCUCCUCUUGCAUUGCUGUCAUCCACAUAGAUACAUCUGUGCUUUUGAUAGCCUCAUGGAAAGUUGAUGGCUCUCCAUCCUCUGUUAGAAGACAAUAUGCAAUAUUGCUCUCAGUAACAUAUUCUGAGUGCCAAGCCGGUGGUCUUCUUUCACGAGUUGACCGUCGAACUUCAGGAGUUUCAGACUCUGUUUGUUCUUGUUCUUCAGGUUCUGGUGUAGCUUCAGAAGAAGUAUGAUUCUGAGUAUUUUCCAUCUGGACUGCUGUAGUCUCCUUUAGAAUGCUAUUAUGUUCUUCCAUUUGCAUUUUACCUUCUGCAAAUAUAACAUCUCUGCUGAUGACUACCUUGUGGGCAGUGGGAUCCCACAGGCGAUACCCCUUAACUCCAUCAGCAUAUCCCAAGAAUACACAUUUUCUGGAUUUUGAAUCCAGCUUGCUGACUUCUUGAGUAUUGUACAUCACGUACACAGGACUUCCAAAUAUAUGCAAUCGAGAAUAAUCAGCUGGUUUUCCAGUCCACAUCUCCAUCGGUGUCUUCAGCUCAAUUGCAGUUGACGGAGAUCGAUUUAUCACAUAACAGGCGGUAUUGACUGCUUCUGCCCAGAAUGACUUUCCUAGACCUACAGUCUUCAACAUUGCUCUUGUUCUUUCUAAUAGGGUUCUGUUCAUCCGCUCUACCACUCCAUUUUGCUGUGGAGUGUAUGUCGUUGUGAAUUGCCUUUUGAUACCUUCAUGUUGACAGAAGUUAUCAAAUUCAUCACUAGUAUAUUCUCCUCCAUUGUCAGUCCUCAAACACUUGAUCUUCUUUUCAGAUUCAAGUUCCACCCGCGCUUUGAAAGUUUUAAAGACUGCGAACACAUCUGCCUUCCUUCUAAUUGGAUACACCCAACAUCUCCUGGAGAAGUCAUCUAUGAAUGAUACAAAGUAUCUUGCUCCUCCCAAGGAUACAACCGGUGCUUGCCAAACAUCAUAGUGAAUCAGGUCUAAGAUGCAUUUGCUCUUAGUUGUUGAUGUGCCAAACUUCAACUUGUGCUGUUUGCUUGUAACACAAUGCUCACAAAAGGGUAAAGUAACCUUUGUAAGCCCAGGGAGUAACUUCUGAUCAGAGAGAACUUUCAAACCUUUCUCUGACAUGUGGCCUAGUUUUUGAUGCCACAUCAUCGUCUUCUCUUCUGCAGGACUGGCUGAUGCAAUUGAUGCUUUUGCCCCAUGAUGUGUUUCUCCCAUUAAUACAAACAUGUUUGCAACUGUCUUUCUCGCCUUUAAAACCACCAGCGCUCCUUUGACAAUUUUCAUUAUUCCAUUGUCUGUUCGGAUCUUACAGCCAAGACUAUCAAAUUGUCCUACGGACAAAAGAUUCUUCUUUAAGUCUUUCACAUGUCGCACUCCUGUAAUAGUACGAAUUAAGCCAUCAUACAUCUUCAAUUUGAUGGUGCCAAUGCCAGCAAUCUCUAAAGCAUGAUCAUUACCCAUGAACACUGAACCUUCAAAGAUGGGUUCGUAUGUAUGAAACCAAUCUCGAUUAGGAGUCAUAUGCCAUGUUGCUCCUAAAUCCAUUAACCAAACCUCAGUGAGCUCUUUUCUAUCUGUAGAGACUGUCGUUGCUUCACUAUAUAAAACCUCCCCAUCUUCUGAGGUGCUUGCAACACAUCUUUGAGGUUUUGAUGACUCUGCAGUGUUCUCUAUACCCUUUUUAAACCAACAAUCCUUUUUUAAGUGCCCUUUUCUGCCACAGUUGUAGCAUUUCACAGUCUUCUUACUUCUUGAUUUGGACCUUCCUUGCAUUUGACUCCCACUCGAGCCACGCUCCGUUGAUCUCCCUCUUGACACCAACAAUGCCUCUACUUGGUUUGAACUAUUUCUGUCUCCUUUAUUUUUGCGCCUAUUUUCUUCUUCCAAGAUGGCGGCUGCAACAUCAUCAAAGACUAAAUAGUCUGUGAGGAUAUUAUUGGUCAAGUUGAUAAUGAGCUGAUCAUACGAAUCUGGAAGACUUUGAAGUAGAAGCUCUGCACGUUCACUUUCCUCUAUUUGUUGACCCAACGUAGUGAGUUGUGAAAAUAGAGUUCUUAUUGUGUUGAUGUGGUCAGUCACCGCCGUGGUUUCUGCCAUUCGAAGGGUAUAAAGUCUCCGUUUUAAGAAAAUCUUAUUGUGCAAAGACUUGGACUCAUAUAGCUUUGUUAGAGUCUCCCAUAUCUCCUUAGCUGUUUUCUUCUCCGCCACACUUGAUAACACUUCAUCGGCUAAUGCUAAAUGUAUGUUAGCAAUAGCAUUGCCAUCCAUUUCAUUCCAUUUUGCAUUAUCAGUGAUCUCCGCGGGCCGAUCCCCAAUUGCUGCCAAGCAAUUGCCUUUCCUUAAGAUUGCUUUGAUUCUCAUUUUCCACAGUGAGAAAUUGCUCCCCUUGAACCUCUCAAUCUCGUACUUUGCUGCCAUUGUAUUCACCAAGAUCUAUUCAGCUAUCACCGUUUCACAGAUCUGUAACGUAUAUAGAAAUAGUAUCGUGUGAAUAAUACUUCACUAAGUAAGUUCCCAGGAAAGAUUGGAGAGGUCACAAACGGUCCCGCUUAAAACCCAAUCUCCUUAGACAGAACUUCCUAGACUGUAUUUAAUCACCGCACUGACUUUCUAUAUACGCCAACAGUAACGUAUGUGAACAGUACCGUAUGGAUGAAUAGUGUCGUAUAGGUGAAUAGUGCCGUAGACGUGAAUAGUAACCGUAUACACGAAUAACUAUUGUGUAUUAACAACACCAACCAGGAAGCUCUAAUACCACUGUUAGGAUACUGGCAUGCAAACCCGACAAGAUAAAAGGCAAAGGAUAGGAUAAAAUGAUAAAUUAGACACACAAGAAUUUACGUGGUUCACCCAAUUUGGCUACGUCCACGGACAAGUAUAGAAGGAUUUUACUAAGUAAUGUGGGAAUUACAACCUCUCUUCAACAAUAGGAGAACAACUGAAAUCUCUCAAUUACUAGAAGAAAACACCUCACUUACUCUCUCAUAAAUACCUCACAACUUUGUGGGAUUACUCUCUCUUCACUCUCUCUACUUGCUCUCAAGUUUCUCUCUUGUGGUGUGCAUCUAAUGCUUGGAUGCAUUGCCUAUUUAUAGGCAAACAUCCAUGCAAGAGACAAGGGGCACCAAUUGGUGCUGCAAGUGGCACCGAAUUGGUGCCCAACAUUGUUGACUUUGCCAACAAUGCUAGUUGGCUUCACAUAUAUUUCUAGCCAUAGCAAUUAGAUUUCAAUUGUCAGAAAAUACAAAUACCAUACCGUAGAAAAGAAAUUGUUAACUUUUUGUCUAGUCUAUCCAAGUCCUUGUAUUUUUAUCCCAUCUAAAGAAGGUGUAUAUAUAUAACCCAUAGACUGUUAGCAUAUUUAAAAUAUACAACCUUUCAUAUAUAACAUUUCAGGGGGGAAUUAAUUAAUGUGGAAAAAUUUAUUAUUUAAUUAUUAAUGAAUAAUGGGGCAUAAAAUAAUAUUUUAAUUAAAAAAUUAAAACAUCACUAACAUUAUCUCACUACAUUUAAUAAAUAUGCCAGUUCAAUAUUGAUACGUCCUCAAAAUUUUUCUCAUAGAUACAAUAUCUUGUAUACAAAAAACAAAAGAGUUUAAAUUGCAUGAAUCGUGCUGAUAACUCUUUGGAAGCAAGUACUACCUUCCACGUAUUAUAACGCAACUUUGUUUUUUGAACCAGAACCACAAGUUGUAUAUAUUUUUAUGAAUGAACUUCCAAAUAUCCUUUCAGGGUCACAAAUAAAAAUUCAAAUAUAUAUUAUCAUUCUCUAAAUUUCAUGUAUACAGCUAAAUAAGAGAAGACAAAUAUAAAAUUAAUGGAGUCUUUUAGAUAGAUAAAAUGCAAUAUAAAUACAAAUGAGUAUCUCAAUUACAUAAAAUCUACAUUAUAGAAUUGCUCAACAUGUCUUUUAUAAGCAAUAGAUGGUAAAUCUUUUAUCAAUGAAUUAAUAAUCAUCAAUCCAGUGUUGAUGUGUUCAACAACCACUUUAUUUGCUUUGACAUGUUCUCGAAUAGCUAGAUAUUUAAUGUUGAUGUGCUUAUUGCAACUUUUAUGUUAGUGAAUAUGAUUUGUAGUUAAUCGGUUGAUUAUACAUAGUAUUGAUUUUAUUCAUGUAAAAUAUAUUUAUUAUUAAUAAAGACUUUCUUUAUCUUUAUUUUUAAUUUUUAUUUAUAUUUGAUUAAUAAAUCUAGAGUAAAGAUAAAGUCUAUGGAACAAAAAUACUUUGCAUAAGAAAUUAUAAAAUUGUUAUAAUUAUGAGAUUUUUAUUGCAUCAAAGCAUUGUUCCUAAAUGUUCAUGGUCAAUGUUUUAUUUGUUGGGUCCUCGAAUAUCAUACACACAGUGGAAACUAUGAAACAAAAUUAUUCGGGAAUCCCUAAGAUCCUGUUAGAUAGAUCUAGAAUUGUUUAGGAAUUUAUUCCUGAAGAUAUGAUCUUCUUCGACUUUGAAUAAUUUUUUAAAAGCUGGGUUAUCGCAAACUACAAGUCAUCUAAUUGUCCGGCUUCCAACAGUAAUUCACACAAAUCACUCGUGAGAAAACUCAUAAAUCCCUAUUUAGGAGAGAUGAAUUGUUAAGCUUAGAGUGCUAGCUCUAAUAUUGUGUUCACGUAGUUUUUCUGUCUAACAAAAAACCAUAUUUUUUUUCACUUAUAAAAUAAUAGGCUUAGCUUUAUAUUUAUAGGGAAUCCUUAAAAAUCCUAUAAAUAAUAAAAUAUAUAUUUGCCCCUUAAAUAAUAUCCAUUUAUUAUUUAAAGAUAAUUAUAGAAAUUAACUCAAUUAAAUCCUUACUUGAUUUUUAUAAGUCUAGAAAUAUAAUCUUUGUAUUAAUUAUAAUUUAGUCCUUAAUUUCUAGAACAUAUUUUAAUCAAGUCAUACUUAAUUAAAUCAUCCCAAUUUAAUUUUUGAUUAAUGAUUCUUAAUGCAUGUGACUCAUUAAGUUCCUAAUAUGUUGGCCUAAAUAUAAUUUAUAAUUCUAAUUAAAUAGAAUUAAAUAAUUUAAUUUAUUAUUAAUUCAACAAUUGAUUAAUUUAUUUUGAAGAUUAGGUAUCGUCUAGCAACACGUCAUGAACCCCUAAAUAUUAGAAAAGUCAUUAGUAGUUUGACUUAACCUUUUAGUGAUCAAUUUCUCAGUAUAAUAAAUAUCAUUUCAUCAAUAAUGUUCUGAUUUAAUAUUAAAGCAUAAAGUAUAUAUGUGAUGUUAAAUCAUGCAUAUUCUCUAUAUAAUAGUCAUUGAUCAUUUGAAUAAGAUUUGAAACUCUUUUCAAAUCUCAUUACACAUUGGCCAAGAAUAAUUCUCAGUCAAUACUAUUUGAGAAUAGAUGAAACAUUUUUCUUAAUUCACCUAGGGUGAUGAAUCAUUUAUUGAUCACUUAAGUACCUUCAUAUAGUUCAUGCUAUACCCAAUUUCUGCUCUUUCGUUACCUUGAUUAAGAUAACAUGUAACAGGAUCAAAGUAUAACAUUCUUUAUAUAAGAUGACUUUGCGAUCUCAAGUUUAAGGAUCACUUACACAACUAUCGUGUGAGCCUUUUCAUAGACAUAAGUGAUCUUUCCAUAUGAAAUUCUCAUGCAAGUUAAUUUAGUGUACAUGUCUUAUGAUAAGCACCUACAUAUUAAUUAUAGGUAUCCCUUAUACCUCAGCUUAUGCUCUUAUUUUGGAGUCGUUGUUUGUUAGAUAUAAAAAACUAUAUAGUCACAAAAUAAAGAGCUAGUACUCCAAGCAAAACAAUUCCUCUCUCCUAAAUAGGAUUUUAGGAGAUUUCUCACUAGUGGUUCGUGUGGAUUAUCAUUGGAGGCCAGACAAUUGGAUGACUUGUGAUUUAUGACAAUUCAGCCUUUAAAUAAUUAUUCAAAGCCGAAGAAGAUCAUAUCUUCAGGUAAUAAAUUUCUAAACAACUUUAGAUCUGUCUAACAGGAUUCUAGGGACUCCUAAAUAAUUUUUUUUUAUUGUUUCUACUACGUGUAUGACAUUCAGAAAUCUAACAAGUUCCUAACUCUGUUGAACUUUCCUAUAACACCACACCCUACUAGCAAGAUAUUGUUCACUUUGGCCCAUAGACCUCACGGAUUUGUUCUUGGCAGCCACGUAUGACCCCAAAAUGCGUUUUAUUAGUCAAGGUGAACAUGCUCAUAUAAGCCCCCCAAGUCCUCACCCGUUGAUAUAAGAUAUUACAAUCCACCCUUCUUAAAGAGCUCGACGACCCCAUAGACACCACCAGAUAACCAAUGAAGGAAAUAAACAUAAUUUUUUUUUGUUGACAAAGCAAAAAAAAAUAAUACCAUAUGUGCGAAACAAAGUGGCUGGAAUGGAACUGGAAAGUUUUGGCCAGAAUCUAAGUGGAAUUUUUGGAAUGAAUUGAGAUUCUAAGCUAGAUGAAAUUUUUUAUGGUUGGUUUUAUUUUUUAAAACUAGAAUAAGAUAUAGCGGACAUUUCAGACAACAUGUAACGGAAUUUACAACUUUUAUCUUUACCCAAAAUUGUAAUAGCUAGAAAUUCGCACUCUUGUGUAGUCAAUUAUGGAGAAUAAUAUUGCGGUGUGUCCACCACUCUUGUGUAGUCAAUUAAGGGACCUACUUGUAUGGAAAUGUAAUAUGAAACGGUUUGCUCUAAAGGCAACUCAUGCAAAAGCAGCAAAUAAGAGUUCAUUAAUAUAAUUACCGUGUUUCCAACACUCACUACUCUUGUUUAGUCUUCUUAUAUUUAAAAACACCCAGUAAAAACACCCAGCUAAGGAUGUUUCACAAUGCUUCUCCCAGCAGUGAGAAAGAUCAAUAAUGACUUUGAUUUCGUCUUUAAAUGUGUACACGUUCACCCAUACUGUCAGUCAUCAGCAAAGGGACCUUCUUGUAUGGAAAUAUUUGCAAUGCAAUAUUCAACACUGUAAGAGUCAACUCUUACCGUAUGGUUUCCAAAGCAAAUGUUAUGGAACAUGUUUUGAAGACUCGCAAAACAAAAAGAAAAACCUUGUUGCUGAGGGGAAGGGGAUUGCCAAGAAAUUCAAAUGACAAAUAUUGCUUUAUUAAUCUUCACGUCUCAAAGCCUUCUUCACUAUACCCACUGCUCUAAUUAACAAUCUUUACCUAAAAUUGUAAAUGAACUAUUCAGAAAUUUGCACAAAAAAUGUCAUUUAUGAAAACUAAUAUUCUCGUGUUUCCAACACUAUUGUAUAGUCAAUGAAGGGACCUGCAUGUAUGGAAAUAUAACAUGAAACGGUUUGCUCUAAAAGCAACUCAUGCAAAAGCAACGUGUUCCCAACACUCACUCUUGCUUAGGCAACGUGUUUUCACAAUUUAUACGUAGUUUUUAGAUUAAUUAAAAUAAAGACGUAAAUUGAUAAAUGAUGAUUAUUUAACAAAGACGUAACAGAUGCAACAAUUCUUGUAUACUUUCAUCUACGUUGGGUACUUAAAUCUUGAUUGGUUUGUGUAUAAAUAGUACCAUUGCAAAUCUUUAUUUCUCAUCAUUCGUUCAACACUCCAAAUUAAUAUACUUUCGAAUCCUGUAAGGCCAGCCAACAUGGGGUUUUCACCACUGUCCCUCUCUCAAUUUCUCUCUUCCAUUCUGUUUCUCUUCCAUUUUUACACAACAAUUUCUUCAUCAAAUUACUCCUCUUCAUCUCAUUUCUGUGCUCCUGACCAAAGUCUUUCUUUGCUCCAAUUCAAAGAGUCCUUUUCCAUUACUAGCUCUGCUUCAGGGCGUUGCCAGCAUCCCAAGACAGAGUCGUGGAAAGAGGGUACAGACUGCUGCUCGUGGGAUGGGGUCACUUGUGAACUGGAAACCGGGCAAGUCACUGCACUGGACCUUGCUUGCAGCAUGCUUUAUGGCACCCUCCAUUCCAAUAGCACCCUCUUCUCCCUGCAUCAUUUUCAAAAGCUCGACCUCUCUGACAAUGAUUUCCAAAGCUCCCAUAUUUCUUCUCGAUUUGGCCAGUUCUCCAAUCUGACACAUCUCAACCUAAAUUUCUCAGGCUUUGCAGGUCAAGUUCCGUCGGAAAUCUCCCAGCUCUCCAAAUUGGUUUCACUUGAUCUCUCUGGAAACUACUACCCAAGUCUAGAACCAAUUUCUUUUGACAAGCUUGUUCGAAACCUAACCCAGCUUAGAGAACUCGAUCUGAGUCGGGUAAACAUGUCAAUGGUUGCACCCAAUUCCUUGAUGAAUCUGUCUUCUUCUUUGUCAUCACUCCUACUCUAUUCGUGUGGAUUGCAAGGAAAAUUACCAUCCUCAAUGAGAAAAUUUAAGCACCUCCAGCGGUUGGAUCUUGCAGAUAACAAUCUUACAGGUCCAAUUCCAUAUGAUUUUGAGCAACUCACUGAGUUGGUUUCACUUGCUCUCUCUGGAAACGAAAACGACUAUCUAAGUCUAGAACCAAUUUCUUUUGACAAGCUUGUUCAAAAUCUAACCCAGCUUAGAGAACUCUAUCUGAACUGGGUGAACAUUUCAUUGGUUGUACCCAAUUCCUUCAUGAAUCUGUCUUCUUCUUUGUCAUCACUCACACUCUAUUCAUGUGGAUUGCAAGGAAAAUUCCCAUCCUCAGUGAGAAAAUUUAAGCACCUCCAGCACUUGGAUCUUAGAUACAGCAAUCUUACAGGUUCAAUUCCAGAUGAUCUUGGACAACUCACUGAGUUGGUUUCAAUUGAUCUCUCUUUCAAUGAUUAUUUGAGUGUAGAACCAAGUUCUUUUGACAAGAUUAUUCAAAACCUAACCAAGCUAAGAGGUCUCCGUUUGGGUUCUGUAAAUAUGCCUUUGGUCACACCUAAUUCCUUGGCGAAUCUGUCCUUAUCCUUGUCAGGUCUUGCCCUUUGGGGUUGUGGAUUGAAAGGGAAGUUCCCAGGUAACAUCUUUCUCCUACCAAACCUUCAAGUACUUGAUUUGACAUACAACGACGACCUCACUGGCUCUUUUCCUUCCUCCAAUGUGAGUAAUAGCCUCCGGUUAUUGGGUCUUGCUCAUACGAGAAUUUCAGUUUAUUUAGAAAAUGACUUCUUCAUAAAUCUAAAGUUGUUGGAAGUUCUGGCUCUCAGAGAAUGUAUUAUCAUAAGGUCAAAUCUAACUCUGAUUGGUUAUCUCACACAGCUCACUCGUUUGGACCUCGCUGGUAACCAUUUCAAUGGUCAGAUUCCAUCAUCACUUAAAAACCUUGUGCAACUUCAAAUCUUAUAUCUCGAUAACUGUAAUUUUUCUGGUAGGAUUCCAGAUUUUUUAGGUAACCUAACCCUCCUUGAAAAUUUAGGUUUAUCUAGUAAUCAACUUGUAGGAACUAUCCCUUCUCAAAUAAGUACUCGUUCAUUGACAUUGUUUAAUUUGGGAAACAACGACUUGCACGGUCCAAUCCCAAGUUCAAUUUUCAAACAAGAGAACCUGGAAGCCCUUGUUCUUGCAUCCAACAGUAAAUUAACAGGUGAAAUUUCUUCUUCUAUUUGCAAGCUUAAAUUCCUUCGACUCCUUGAUUUGUCCAACAACAGCUUGAGUGGUUUCAUACCACAAUGUUUAGGGAACUUUAGCAACUCUCUAUCAAUUUUGAAUCUUGGCAUGAAUAAUCUUCAAGGCACUAUCUUUUCAACAUUUUCAAAGGGGAAUAACUUGGGAUAUCUCAACCUAAAUGGCAAUGAAUUGGAAGGGAAAAUACCAUCGUCUAUCAUCAACUGUACAAUGCUGGAAAUUCUUGAUCUUGGCAACAAUAAGAUUGAGGAUACAUUCCCCUAUUUCCUUGAAAUGCUUCCAGAGCUGCAUGUUCUUGUCCUAAAGUCCAAUAAGCUCCAGGGAUUUGUGAAUGGUCCGAUUGCUAAUAAUUCCUUCUCCAAAUUACGGAUUUUCGAUAUCUCCAGCAAUAAUUUGAGUGGACCAUUGCCAACAGGGUAUUUCAAUAGUCUUGAAGCAAUGAUGGUCUCUGAUCAAAAUUCAUUUUACAUGAUGGCUAGAAAUUACUCUUGGUAUGCCUAUUCCAUAAAAGUGACAUGGAAAGGGUUUGAUAUUGAGUUCGCGAGAAUCCAAAGCGCUCUUAGAAUACUUGAUUUUUCAAACAACAAUUUCAUCGGAGAGAUUUCAAAGGUGAUUGGAAAGCUUAAAGCACUUCAACAACUCAACCUCUCUCAUAAUUCCCUUACAGGCCAUAUUCAAUCAUCAUUAGAAAUGUUGACCUAUCUGGAAUCAUUAGAUCUAUCUUCGAAUUUGCUUACUGGAAGGAUUCCAGUACAGUUGGCAGAUCUAACAUUUCUUGGAGUCUUAAACCUUUCACAUAACCAUCUUGAGGGGGCCAUACCCAUUGGAAAGCAGUUCAACACGUUUAAUGCAAGCUCAUUUGAAGGAAACUUGGGUUUAUGUGGAUUUCCAAUGCCAAAAGAAUGCAAUAGUGACGAGGCACCACCAUCGCAGCC
rnacentral:lncRNA from 1 species